rnacentral:rRNA from 1 species
UAUAACGAGGCGGCUUGCCGCCGAAGUGAGUGAUACCCUGCUUCCAGGAAAAGCCACUAAGCUUCAGCUAUACACGACCGUACCGCAAACCGACACUGGUGCGCGAGAUGAGUAUUCUAAGGCGCUUGAGAGAACUCUGGAGAAGGAACUCGGCAAAUUGACACCGUAACUUCGGAAGAAGGUGUGCCUUUAGUAGGUGAAGUCGUACAGACGGAGCCCAAUGAGGCCGCAGAGAAUCGGUGGCUGCAACUGUUUAAUAAAAACACAGCACUCUGCAAAGACGAAAGUCGACGUAUAGGGUGUGACGCCUGCCCGGUGCUGGAAGAUUAAAUGAUGGGGUGCAAGCUCUUGAUUGAAGUCCCAGUAAACGGCGGCCGUAACAAUAACGGUCCUAAGGUAGCGAAAUUCCUUGUCGGGUAAGUUCCGACCUGCACGAAUGGCGUAAUGAUGGCCACACUGUCUCCUCCAGAGACUCAGCGAAGUUGAAAUGUUUGUGAUGAUGCAAUCUCCCCGCGGAAAGACGGAAAGACCCCAUGAACCUUUACUGUAGCUUUACAUUGGGCUUUGAACAGAUCUGUGUAGGAUAGGUGGGAGGCUUUGAAGCGGUGCCGCUAGGUGUCGUGGAGCCAACGUUGAAAUACCACCCUGGUGUGUUUGAGGUUCUAACCUUGGCCCGUUAUCCGGGUUGGGGACAGUGUAUGGUAGGCAGUUUGACUGGGGCGGUCUCCUCCCAAAGUGUAACGGAGGAGUUCGAAGGUACGCUAAAUACGGUCGGAAAUCGUGUUGAUAGUGCAUUGGCAUAAGCGUGCUUGACUGCGAGACUGACAAGUCGAGCAGGUACGAAAGUAGGACAAAGUGAUCCGGUGGUUCUGUAUGGAAGGGCCAUCGCUCAACGGAUAAAAGGUACUCUGGGGAUAACAGGCUGAUACCGCCCAAGAGUUCAUAUCGACGGCGGUGUUUGGCACCUCGAUGUCGGCUCAUCUCAUCCUGGGGCUGUAGCCGGUCCCAAGGGUAUGGCUGUUCGCCAUUUAAAGAGGUACGUGAGCUGGGUUUAAAACGUCGUGAGACAGUUUGGUCCCUAUCUUCCGUGGGCGCUGCAAGAUUGAGAGAGCCUGCUCCUAGUACGAGAGGACCGGAGUGGACGCACCACUGGUGUAUCGGUUGUCACGCCAGUGGCAUUGCCGAGUAGCUAAGUGCGGAAGAGAUAACCGCUGAAAGCAUCUAAGCGGGAAACUCGUCUCAAGAUGAGUCUUGCCGGGGCCUUGAGCCCCCUGAAGGGUCGUUCGAGACCAGGACGUUGAUAGGCUGGGUGUGGAAGCGCAGUAAUGCGUUAAGCUAACCAGUACUAAUUGCCCGUGAGGCUUGACUC